rnacentral:rRNA from 1 species
GAUGAACGCUGGCGGCGUGCUUAACACAUGCAAGUCGAACGAUGAAGCCCAGCUUGCUGGGUGGAUUAGUGGCGAACGGGUGAGUAACACGUGAGUAACCUGCCCUUAACUCUGGGAUAAGCCUGGGAAACUGGGUCUAAUACCGGAUAGGAGCGUCCACCGCAUGGUGGGUGUUGGAAAGAUUUAUCGGUUUUGGAUGGACUCGGGGCCUAUCAGCUUGUUGGUGAGGUAAUGGCUCACCAAGGCGACGACGGGUAGCCGGCCUGAGAGGGUGACCGGCCACACGGGGACUGAGACAGGGCCCAGACUCCAACGGGGGGCAGCGGUGGGGAAUAUUGCACAGUGGGCGCAAGCCUGAGGCGGCGACGCCGCGUGAGGGAUGACGGCCUUCGGGUUGUAAACCUCUUUCGGUAGGGAAGAAGCGAAAGUGACGGUACCUGCAGAAGAAGCACCGGCUAACUACGUG